AGGGCACCACCAGGAGUGGAGCCUGCGGCUUAAUUUGACUCAACACGGGAAAACUCACCCGGCCCGGACACUGGAAGGAUUGACAGAUUGAGAGCUCUUUCUUGAUUCAGUGGGUGGUGGUGCAUGGCCGUUCUUAGUUGGUGGAGUGAUUUGUCUGGUUAAUUCCGAUAACGAACGAGACUCUAGCCUAUUAAAUAGAUCGUUGGCUUACAAACGCCGGCGAGACUUCUUAGAGGGACAGGCGGCGAUUCAGCCGCACGAAACAGAGCAAUAACAGGUCUGUGAUGCCCUUAGAUGUCCGGGGCCGCACGCGCGCUACACUGAAGUGAUCAGCGCGCAUUUUGAAACCUACUCUGUCAAGAGUGGGGAACCCAAUGAACCUUCUUCGUGAUUGGGAUAGGGGAUUGUAAUUAUUCCCCUUGAACGAGGAAUUCCCAGUAAGCGCGAAUCAUAAGUUUGCGCUGAUUACGUCCCUGCCCUUUGUACACACCGCCCGUCGCUACUACCGAUUGAAUGUUU
rnacentral:rRNA from 1 species